rnacentral:lncRNA from 1 species
UUUUUUUUUUUGUUUUUUUUUUCAGGAUAGUAAUUGUAUCAUCUGCAAGCAAUGGCAGAAACCUCCACCUCUUCAAUCCUUGCACUUGUUUCUUAUUUUUCCUAAUAGCAUUCACCAGGCCCUCCACCAUCACAAUAAACAUUUGCAAUAUUAGUGAGAAUCCUUGUUUUCUUCCACUUUUAAAGGGAAUGUAUCUAAAAUUCCUUGAAUAAAUAUAACAUUUGCCCCAAGAAUUUGGCAUUUAAUUUUUAACAUAUUUAGUGGGUUCUCUUUUCCUCCUAAUUUCUCAAGAUAUUCUACUACAAUUGGUUUUUGAAAUUUAUAAAAUGCUUUCUCUGGAUCAUCAAAGGUGACUCUAUAGUGCUUCUCUUUUGACUCUAUUAACAUAGAGAAUUCCAUUGCUAGAGUUUCUGAUAUUAUAUCAUCCUCCUAUUUUUAGAUAUAUCCUAAUUUCUCAUUGUAUACUUUUGACACAUUAUUAAAUUUGGUUUAUCUACAAUUUUAUUUGGAAUUUUGGCACAUACAUACAGAGGGAUACGGUCAAUUGUUUUCUGUUCUUUAUGGUUCCUACCUGGUUUUGAAAUCAAGAUCAUACUAACCUCCUAAAAUCAUCUGAGUGACUUCUACAUUUCCUCUAUUUUCUGGAACAACUUGUGUAAGACAGGAAUUAACUGUUCCCUCAAAAUUCCCUAGAUCUGAGGUGACCAUGUAAUUCAUCUAUAAUUGAUGUAAACAGGACACAUUCAGAAAUAAAGGAGAACAUUAUUAAUAACUAUGCCAGGGCAAAGGAGGAUGAACAAAGACUAUUCUAAGCAAAACAAAGCAGAACUCAAUGUUAAUACUUUAUGAGUAUGGGACUUAGUGGGAGGUGAGGCCUCUUAGUACCUUGUCAAUGUCUUCACGCUUGGUCGAUCUAGUCAGGUUUGCAUUUCUUCCAGUACUACUUUGAUGGAUUGCUUUUCUUUGAAGUAGUUUUCAUUUCAUGAUAGAGCAAAAUGUUCUGUAAAGCUGCCAUGCCCAAAGCACAGAAUGUGAGUUUUACGUCCCUUCAAUCUCUUGCAACCCUGCAUAGUCCCCGUUUUGUCACACACUGAUUUGCUGAAGACAUUGGGUCAGGUGUUCUAACAGCGAUCCACCUUCUUUUUUAUCUACUUUUCUUUAGCUUGUUCUCAAUGGGAACUCCCUCUUUAUGGUUUUCACACAAAUUUUAAUCCUUAACUGAUCAAUAAAUUCUUUGCAAGAUUUGCAAGACUCAACUCAGUAGAAUAGAACUUUCCCUCGGGAACUAGAGAUAUUUAGUACUAGGAAUACAACUCCUACUAGUGAGGCAGGAUAAAUAUUUAAUUUGUUCAAAUGAGUUACCAGUUUCCAAGUUAAAAAUUUUGCUUAGUGGGCGCCUCAAACGGUGACCUGAGUUUUUCUGCUUGUAUCCAUCUCUGGGAAAUCAUGUCUUUUCAUUGAUUCAAUGUAUUUCAAUCCAUUAUAUUUGGUUUAUAGUUAUUCUCUCUCAGUACAUUGAAGAUAUAGCACCGCUAUCUUUAGACUUUUAUUGUUGGUGUUGAAAAUGUUGCUGUCAGUCUAAUUUUUGACCACACUGCCCUUCCCUCACCACCAGCGUCCUUACCAUGAGAGCCUCCCAGACCUAUAGUUUCUCCAGAGAGAAGAUAAGAGCCUAGCUGAAAGGUGGACAUCCAGCUUCCCUAUGUUGUAGGACACUUACAAGGGGUUCACCGGAGUCUCAUCUCCUGGGGAUCAUUGGUGGAAGCUAUGGAGCUCAAUAGUGGGAAUCGGAUAGAGAUGGAAAAGGGGGAAGGACAUCCAGAAACCAGCACUCAGAUCUUGGAUGGCAUUCCUUCUUGCAGUGGUGCCCAAGCAAGGUCCUCGCCAGCAGCCCUGUCCAUCUAGAGAGUCAACCCAGUGUCUCCAUCUGGCCAGGAAGCUCAGUUCACAGUUCUACCUGAUUUGGAUUCCCAGCCAACAAGCUGUAUGGGUUCGGAGCUCAUUAUAUAGCCGAACUCAAGCCAGGAACAAAUUUCUAGCAUAGUCUCAAACAAGCUACAUGGGUUUUGAGCUCAUUCUAGUGCCCAAUGCAUGCAAGAAACAAAUUUCCAGCAUAGCCUCAGCAUAGUCUAAAGUCCCACCCAUCUGAGAAGUGUAGCUGCAUUUGCCAGAUAGCCACAAAGAAUAUCCUAUAUCCUGCCUGGUCAGGGGAGUAAAUGUACACUCUUGUCCAACUGGUCAGCAUAGCUUCAGUGCCACUCAUCCAGGAAGGAUGUCCACAGACUCCCAGCAGCCACAGAGCACAUCCUAUAGCCCACCCAGCAGCCCUGCGCAAAUGGUAGACAUAGUCUCUGGCACCACAUAACCAGAUCAGCCUGAGUAGGGAUCCUGAGCAGUCUAAGAGUCCAGCUAUGGUACUGCCCAGCCAUGGAGUCCAGCCUACAGCCCCCCUUCCCCCAAUAGCAGAGCCCAGUAUAUAGCCCAGCCCAGUUGCUGAGCACACCAUACAGCCUCUCUCAGACAGGGAGCCAGUUGGUGACGUUGCCCAAUCACAGAGCUUAGGCUAUAGCUCAACACAACUAAGAAGCUCACAUGCAACAUUGCCCAAUUGCAGAAUACAGUUUCCAGCUUCACUCAACAAUGGGGUACAGCUGGAGGCCCCAUUCAACCAGAGAGCACAGCCAGCAACCUCACUCAACAGUGGAGCAUAGUCCACGGCCACCCUGAUCACAAAGCCCAGCCUGCGGCCUCACUUGAACACGGAGUCCAGCCAGCAGCACCUUCCAACCAGGAGGCAUGGUCUGAGGCCCCACUCAUCCAAGAGCAAUGGCAGAGCACAGCCCUGCCCAGUUGUGCAAGCCAAUCCUGGCAUGGCCCUGCUACCUACCCUAACAGAGGUGACUGCAAAACUGUGCUGGCAGCCCCACCUGAAUGCAGUCCUGGCCACGGAAGCCACAUAGAGGCCUUGUGUGAACCCAGAGUCUGUACAGCAGGCAUACCCAGCUUCAGAGCCCAGGCAGUGGAACCCCCACCCACAUCAGAACAAGAGCAGUUGCCUCACCCAACUAGAGACCCUGACAACCCCACCUGCCCAGGGACAUGACCAGCUUGAUCCCUCCAGUAUCCCCAGCUGAGCUGACUGGUAAAGGUCUUUCCCUGCUGAAAUGAACCUGGAUUGUCUGGAGAAGAGACAACUUCCUCAAAGCACAGAUACCAACACAGGAAACAAAAAUCACAAUCAUGUAAACAUGUCAAUGGAAACUAACAAAGAUCCAAUAACAACAACAAAAAAGUGGACAAAAAGUCUUGACACAUUUGUAAGAAGUUUAAAAAGCAGUCUUUGGAGUUCCCAUUAUGGCUCAGAGGAAACGAACCUGGCUAGUAUCCAUGAGGACACGGGUUUGAUUCCUGGUCUAGCUCAGUGAGUUAAGGAUCCAGCAAUGCUAUCUAUCAGCUGUGGUGUGGGUCGCAGAUGUGGCUCAGAUCUGGUGUUGCUGUGGCUUUGGGGUAGGCCGGCAGCUAUAGCUCUGAUUCGACCCCUAGCCUGGGAACUUCCACCUCUAAAAAGCAAAAAUAAAUAAAUAAAAAUAAAAAUAAAAAGAAGUCUUUUCCUCAUUAUUUCCAUUCAGACAGAGAGACACAGCUGCAUCCUCCAAUGCCAGUGUCAGUGACUUUUUUCAGCCUUUCAUUACCACAUGUCUUUUUGAGUCCCAUGUUGCCUAGGCACCAAGUUUUGUGUCCCCAACAUCAACACGUUGUCACUUUUAAUGUUUCCUCCUUUCUCAGCCUCAUAAGCAGAAGAAAUCUGAUUUCUAGUUUCAGCAUCUCUCUGAAGGCCUUUUGGAGGCUCACUGUCCUCUCUGGGGUUCAGGUUCACCCUGGCUUCAUCAUCGUCACAAAACAAGCUGUAGAGUGUGACAGUAUUGGUGGGCAUUAAAAAAAAAAAAAAAUCACUGAGCGGUGGUUGGUUCCCAUAAGUAGAGAAGGUUGAGGAGGAGUUUAGGAAAGAAGAAGGGCUGAAGAAAGUACAUGAGAACAGGAGAAGAAUGACUGUGCUGCCUCCCAAAUCGUGGAAGGCUCUGAGAAACCUCUCUCAAGCUCUUCUUUUGGAAAUACUCAGGCUUUAAGAGGAGACUUCUGGGAACAUGCCAGUCCUAUUUCUUCCUCCAGAUUCUUAGGCUUGAACCAUUUCGUGCUUGUGAAGAUCCUCCCCCAGGAAUUUGGGGAAUUUGGGGCAAAGGCCACUAGAUACUUUUGGUUCUAAGGAGGUAACUGAAUUCCCUUUCAAUAGACCCAGAUCCAGCCUGAUUAAAUGGAGCCCAUUAAGGCAAAGCCCAACCAAGACCCAAGUUCAACCCAGCUACAAACCCGUCCUCAGUCCUGAUCAUUCGCAGCAUCCCUCAAAUUGAAACCACACUCGAACUCAAUCCUAACUCCAACCCUCCUCUACCCAGGGUCUAUUCAAGCUUAACCCUAAGCCAACAACUCCUUACUACUAGCCCCAGUUUAGCCCAUUACCCUGCCUCAUCCCUACACCUAGAUUCAUUUGUCCUGAAAUUUCAUCCUUUCUCCACCCCAAACCAAUCCUAACCUCCCUAAUAAAACUCCCUACCUAAGAGUCUUCCUGAAACACCUUCCCAAUAUCUCCCUAACUGGAAGCUCCUCUCGCUGUCCACGCCAAUUCAUCCCUCAAUAUAUAAUACAUCUCUCAGGUGAUACUGAGAUCCCUCCCCUUCCCAAACUGGACUCAAUCACUUGCCUCUAAUUCUACAUCUAAUUGCAUGUUAUAUCAGCCAGAGUCCUAUCAAUUAUUUUGACAGAGGAAACUUAAUACUUCACUGUAAUGUUGUUAAUAUUAACUAAUUUAAUUUUAAAUUUAAUAUAAUAAUUGCUAACUAGGCAUUUGAGAAUUGAAAAUAAAUUUAAAUAGAUAAAAUUUUGCAGAGAUAGCAACUGCAGGAAUCAACUAACACUCCCAGGGCUGGGGUAACAAGAAAGGAGAUUGGGAAGUUCCUGUUGUGGCUCAGCAGUAACAGACCUGACUGGUAUCCAUGAGGACGUGUGUUCGAUCCCUGGACUCGCUCAGUGGGUUAAGGAUCCUGCAUUGCUGUGAGCUUUGGUGUAGGUCACAGACGCACCUUGGAUCCCACGUUGCUCUGGCUGUGGUGUAGGCUGGCAGCUCUGAUUCAACUCCUGGCCUGGGAAUUUCCAUAGGCUGCAGGUGCAGCCCUAAAAAGACAAAAGAAAAAAAAAAGAAGAAA